CGUGCUUAACACAUGCAAGUCGAACGAUGAGACGGUGCUUGCACCGUGGAUUAGUGGCGAACGGGUGAGUAACACGUGAGUAACCUGCCCUUGACUCUGGGAUAAGCCUGGGAAACUGGGUCUAAUACCGGAUACGACCGCUCCACGCAUGUGGUGGUGGUGGAAAGCUUUUGUGGUUUUGGAUGGACUCGCGGCCUAUCAGCUUGUUGGUGGGGUAAUGGCCUACCAAGGCGACGACGGGUAGCCGGCCUGAGAGGGUGACCGGCCACACUGGGACUGAGACACGGCCCAGACUCCUACGGGAGGCAGCAGUGGGGAAUAUUGCACAAUGGGCGCAAGCCUGAUGCAGCGACGCCGCGUGAGGGAUGACGGCCUUCGGGUUGUAAACCUCUUUCAGUAGGGAAGAAGCGUAAGUGACGGUACCUGCAGAAGAAGCGCCGGCUAACUACGUGCCAGCAGCCGCGGUAAUACGUAGGGCGCAAGCGUUAUCCGGAAUUAUUGGGCGUAGAGCUCGUAGGCGGUCUGUCGCGUCUGCUGUGAAAGACCCGGGGCUCAACUCCGGUUCUGCAGUGGGUACGGGCAGACUAGAGUGAUGUAGGGGAGACUGGAAU
rnacentral:rRNA from 1 species